GGCCAUGUUUAAAGCUGUGCCGUACAACGGAUGGUUACGCCCUUUCUUUGCCCGACCAAAAGAUAAGGCUAUUUUAGGACAAGGAGAAGCAAGUGUCCCUGGAUCCCUAAACAGAGAUGUCAUCUCUGCUCUUAACUCAGCAUCCCAGAUGCCAAAACCUCCUGUGACUAACAUGGGGGCGCCCAGACAUCAAUGCUGAGCUUUCUUUGUUUCCAGCAGCCUGAUAAGAUGGCCGCGAACAUUUUUACCGCUUCUUACGUGCAAUGGGUGCAGCCUCUCCUAGGAGGAGUUCCCCUAUGGCAAUGUGAAACUUUUUCUGAGCCAGCUCUGGGAGUUACAGAGCAGCGAAGAGACUCGCUCUUCUUUUAGGGAGACAGAGACAGCCUAAGGAGGGGGCGUGACUUCACGGAAAGGGCGGAGCCGCAAGGAAAGGGCGGGGCUGCCGCAGCGGGAAGAGAUCUGAGUUCUUAGCGCAUAAUGGAAAGGAAAUGUUGAAAGCAAGAUUUUUACCUAAGGAGGCUUGCCCGAUAAGCCGACCUGAGGGAAGAAUAUGAGUGCAAGAAGUUUAUUUGAGCCACUCCAGAGGUGUUAAAGCUCCAGCACUUCCAGCCUGCCUCAUGGGAAGGUCUUAGGCUGAGUCUAUAGGUGCCUGCAGUAAGAAGCCAGCGGUCUGCAUAUGAUUGCCCAGGGGUAGUGGCUGGGUACCAACAACAUUCACUACAGGCCUGCCUUGGAUACCGCCUAACGCAGUGCUCUGCAUAUCAAAGACGGAGUUUCACUCUUGUUGCCCAGGCUGGAGUGCAUUGGUGCAAUUUCGGCU